UAUACAUGGGGCAGGGCGCUACCAACAUGAGGCAAGUUUGAUUGGAUGAUGGCGGGUACGCGCUUGGAACGCAUGAAUGGGAACCAACUGAUCUCCAAUCAGACGCUUCGCUAUCCGCAUCAGACAGAGGCUUGGCACGCUAAUAACGGAAGUGAAGUUUUCUGAUUAUUGAUUCCGACUUUUGGGAGGGAGGCUUGGAACGCAGUACCCGGAAGUGGAGUUAGUCGGAGCCGCCUGUAAAUACAGAAUAAUGAGCGUGUUUCUGAGGAGCCAACUGACCUGAGAUUCGAUGCCGCUUCCUGGUCAGUCACUUCCACAGGGACCAAAUGGGAAUCUCCCAGGAACCCACUGACCCAGUGAUGGGGAACCAGGAUCCAGAUCUGCUGCAUCAGAGAAUCCUGAGUCUCACACUGGAGAUUAUCUACCUGCUGACUGGGGAGGGCUACACUGUUACAAAGAAGUCAGGGUGAUGGCGCCCCCCACAGACCUGCACUGACUGUAUGUUGGGAGGAGCCUGCAGGCACC